ACAGCCUGUGAUGUUGCUCUAAAAGAUCCUCUGCUACUUCCUGGCGGAUCCCUAACUGGCAGCCUGUGUUCUUGGCCACAGAUGUGGAGUGCACAGAACAACUUAAAGGCCUGGUAACCGGGGAUGCAGCUGCACUGUCUCUGCUGGACCUAUUCUCUCACAUGACGUGAGAUGGCCGCCCAGCCUCUGUGGUGAAAGAGCCUGCAGAGACAAUGAAAGGUCUAUUAUAGUUUUUUGUCUGGGGAGGGAAAAAGCUCUCAGAAGUUUCUCUCCCAUAAGCAGCAAUUUCUAUCUCCUUGGCAUGUCUUUAUUCUCUCUCUAUUUUCCUGCCCAGAGGCAGCUGCAUCCCCAGCAGGUGUGAUGUGGUAGAGCAGAGAGGAGGCCAGUCCAGGUGUCUGCAGAAUGGAUGAGAUGUUGGUCAUGGAUGCUGGUGUGGGUCACAGAGUUGAAGGAGCAGAUGGUGGUGGAGUGGACUGAAUACAGCAGCAGCAGGAACCAUGUAGUUUUGCAGUAUAACAACUGUGCAACAGGAUGCAUUUUGAGGAAAACCAUGUCUGAGAUGGAUUAAAUUCCAAACUCUGGCUCUGCAAGCCCGAAUAACACUUGUUGCCUGGUGCCUUGCCUCCGGAGCGAGAACAGCAGGCGUUUCAUCAGGGAACAACAAAACAUCCUGAAGGAUUCUCAAAGGAAGGUCAUCCCAGGUCUUGCAACAUUUGCUCUCAUGUUUUCUCCACUGGGUCAAAAUGCUAAAGCAGAAUUCCUAGUUCUAAUAUUAUAUAAGCCAUAAUCUGUCUGUCCAUAACUCUUU
rnacentral:lncRNA from 1 species